ensembl:lncRNA
GAUGGAUCAGAGUAAAAUUGCACCAGCUGGGCUUUAAUUCCGGAUUGCAGACUGGUCCCUAACCCCAGCCCAAGUUUGGCAGGGGGUCAUAUGAGUGGAGAAUUAUUAGUAUUAUGGUCUUUAUGAGCGUUUUAAAUACUCUGUGUUUUUUGUAUUAAAGUGUAUACUUCUAGAAUGAGAGAUCAUGUUUGGCUUCUGUCACAAACCACGCAACAAAUUACCAAACACACACACACACACACACAUGACACAAUGCAAGGGAAGGAAAACUAUCCACGAAAAGAUCAUCGUGUCUAUCCUGGUUGUACAGCUCUGUCAUUGAUCAAAUUAGGAUAAGUUACUUCUCUACUUCCCCAUUUAUAAAAAGGAAUAUACUGAUGCAUGUUUCAUAAGAAUCAUUUAAACAGUAUCUGGGAUAUAACUCCAUUGAUUACAAUUAGAUCUGAAUAGUGGGUCAAAUGCAUAUGUUUCUCUGGAGAGAAAUAAAUGUAUAUAAGCACAAAUCAGGAAGUUCAGUCAUUAUCACCUAACUCACCAAAGAGGAAAUGCUUCCUCUUAAGUUUCUCGUGAGCUGCAAACACAGUGGAGUUAAGAGAGCAGGGGAUUUCUCAUUAGUGCUUAUGUGGGAGAUCAGGAGAAGAAAAAGACUACAGCUAGGUAUAUGGAAGGAAAAGAGAGAGGUAAGGAUAGGAAGAAGAAGAAGGGAACUCCCUUCAGAAAAUGUCUUCAGCUUUUGGGAUACUUUUCACAAUUUUUCUCCCUUUCACAGCUGCAUCUCCAGAAGUAACACUACUUUAGAGGAAGAAUAAAACUUCAGUGUGCAAAGGUUGUAGGGAAGCCAGCUUGCACAGAUUUUCUAAGCCCCAGAAGAUUGCAUCACUGAGCAUGAAUCUAGGAUUAACAGGGCAGUGACUGUCCAGAACACAUGCCACUGGGCAGGCAACAUUGUAUAUUAUGUGACCUGCUUUAUUUUACAUUUGAACAGGAGCAAGAGUCUAACCAUAGGUGAGCAGGCUUGCAGUAACUGAUCUAAUUAUCUUAACUUCUUCCCAAACAAGUGUCAUCACCUAUUGACAUACUUGGUUAUCACCUCAGGAAAUUCUAAUUGACUUACAUUGAAUUUUUUCAUUCUGUCUUAUUUCCUCUUUCAAGUUUUCCUUUGCCUUCUGUCUUAUUAUUGGCCUGAGGUAGAUUUUCUCAGAUAAAUUUCACUCUAUUUUUUUUUAUCUCUUUAUUGGUUCGUAGUCCAUUCUGACAGUGCAUUUUAAGUAUUAGGUUGUUGUGUCACCACUUAAUUUUCUUUUUGAUUAUGUCUAAUCAGGUUUUUAACCUACCCACUGAGAUAUGAUUCCAAUAAUUGUAUUUUUCUUUUUAAAAAGUUUAGUUCUUUCAUUUUAUUUCCUUUUUCCUCUUUUCUUUUUUAACCAUGUUAAUCACAUGUUAUUUUCCAUAGUGGAAAACCAUAGUGGUUUUCACACUGUCUCAUUAUUUCUAGUUAUCGUGUUGCCAAUUCUGGUGGUUGCUGUAAUAGAAAAACAGAAUUAUAGAAGAGGUAGUGACCAUUAAAUGGUAAAUGGGAGUGAGAAGAAUUUAGAGAGUACUUUGUACAGGGGAUAAAAUUUGAAUGAGGUCUGAAGGAUAGACUGAACUUUUAAAAGUUAAUUAGGCUGACAAAGUAAAAGAGGGCAUUUUAUUUUAUCAAUAACAGCAAUAGUUGAUUUACAGUGUGCUAGUUAGUAUCUGCUGCUCAUCAAAGUGAUCCAGUUAUAUAUACACAUAUAUCCACUUUUUUAUAGAUUUUGUUACCAU